AGUGAACGCUGGCGGUAGGCCUAACACAUGCAAGUCGAACGGCAGCACAGUAAGAGCCUGCUCUUACGGGUGGCGAGUGGCGGACGGGUGGGGAAUACAUCGGAAUCUACUUUUUCGUGGGGGAUAACGUAGGGAAACUUACGCUAAUACCGCAUACGACCUACGGGUGAAAGCAGGGGAUCUUCGGACCUUGCGCGAUUGAAUGAGCCGAUGUCGGAUUAGCUAGUUGGCGGGGUAAAGGCCCACCAAGGCGACGAUCCGUAGCUGGUCUGAGAGGAUGAUCAGCCACACUGGAACUGAGACACGGUCCAGACUCCUACGGGAGGCAGCAGUGGGGAAUAUUGGACAAUGGGCGCAAGCCUGAUCCAGCCACACCGCGUGGGUGAAGAAGGCCUUCGGGUUGUAAAGCCCUUUUGUUGGGAAAGAAAAGCAGCAGGUUAAUACCCCGCUGUUCUGACGGUACCCAAAGAAUAAGCACCGGCUAACUUCGUG
rnacentral:rRNA from 1 species